rnacentral:misc_RNA from 1 species
GGGCUUUUGGAUGGGUUGGAUAAAAUCAAUAAUCCUGUUGGGAUUAUUUGGGGUGGUAGAGAUCAUAUAGAGACUGGUGGAGGUAGAAAUUUUGGUUAGGUAUAGGGCUAAUGUGGGUGUUUGCUCAGUUUUCUGGGUUAGUUAUCUUUUGGCAUCAAUUAAGUCUUAGAUAUCAUGCUUAAGUUGCAAGCAUCAAUCAGUGUCAUGACCAUGGGUUUGGUGGAACUGGCAGUAUUAGUUGAUAUCAUAGCUAGGUGAGAGUGGAUUUGAUAGUGGUCUGGGUGUUAAAAGCUGCAGGAGGUCUUGAGCUUUGAGACGC